UACGAAGGGGACUAGCGUUGUUCGGAAUUACUGGGCGUAAAGCGUGCGUAGACGGUUAUGUAAGUCAGAUGUGAAAGCCCCGGGCUCAACCUGGGAAUGGCAUUUGAGACUGCAUAGCUAGGAUGCGGAAGAGGGAAGUGGAAUUUCCGGUGUAGCGGUGAAAUGCGUAGAUAUCGGAAGGAACAUCAGUGGCGAAAGCGACUUCCUGGUCCAGCAUCGACGUUCAGGCACGAAAGCGUGGGGAGCAAACAGG
rnacentral:rRNA from 1 species